rnacentral:rRNA from 1 species
AUACGUAGGGGGCGAGCGUUGUCCGGAAUGAUUGGGCGUAAAGGGCGCGUAGGCGGCCCGGUAAGUCUGGAGUGAAAGUCCUGUUUUUAAGAUGGGAAUUGCUUUGGAUACUGUCGGGCUUGAGUGCAGGAGAGGUAAGUGGAAUUCCCAGUGUAGCGGUGAAAUGCGUAGAGAUUGGGAGGAACACCAGUGGCGAAAGCGACUUACUGGACUGUAACUGACGCUGAGGCGCGAAAGUGUGGGGAGCAAUCAGGAUUAGAUGCCCUGGUAGUCCACGCCGUAAACGAUGAGUGCUAAGUGUUGGAGGGUUUCCGCCCUUCAGUGCUGCAGCUAACGCAUUAAGCACUCCGCCUGGGGAGUACGACCGCAAGGUUGAAACUCAAAUGAAUUGACGGGG